UACGAGAGGCCCAAACGUUAUUCGGAUUUACUGGGCUUAAAGAGUUCGUAGGCGGCGCGGAAAGUAGGGUGUGAAAGCCCCCGGCUCAACCGGGGAAUUGCGCCCUAAACUGGCGAGCUGGAGUGAGAUAGGGGUGUGUGGAACUUCCGGUGGAGCGGUGAAAUGUGUUGAUAUCGGAAGGAACGCCGGUGGCGAAAGCGACACACUGGAUCUUGUCUGACGCUGAGGCACGAAAGCCAGGGGAGCGAACGGG
rnacentral:rRNA from 1 species